CUAAAGCUAUCCUCUAUGUCAGCCUCCCAAGUGGCUGGGACUACAGGCAUGUGCCACUAUACCUGGCUAACUUCGUUAUUUUUAUUUUUGUAGAGAUGUGGUCUUGCUACGUUGCCUAGGCUGAUCUUGAACUGCUCAAGAACAGCAAAAUAUACUGCAUGGAAUCAAGUACUCAAAAAGACACUCAAGAUGUAAAUAUUUGUCUUGUUAACACAAAUCCAGAUCUGCUUUGUAUAAAGUUAAGAAAGCUUAAAAAACAUUGUUCAGUGCUUGCUGUUUUUGUAACCUACUGGUUACAGCCAGCUCUUUCCUCUCCUACUGAUGGUAAUAGUAUUCUCAGGCCGUUUAUAUUUGUCCAUUCUUGCACUAUUAUAAAGGAAUACCUAAGACUGGGUAAUUUAUGAAGAAAAGAGGUUUAAUUGGUGCGUGGUUCCAUAGGCAUUAAGCAUGGCUAGGGAGUCCUCAGGAAACUUACAGUCAUGGUAGAGGAUGAAGGGGAAGCAAGCCUGUCUUUUGUGGCCCCAGCAGGAGGAAAAGAGAAAGGGGAAGGUGCUACACACUUUUAAACAACCAGAUCUCAUGAGAAUGAACUCAACAUCGUGAGAACAGCAAGGGGAAAGUCUGCUCCCAUGAUCCAGUCACCUCUCAAGAGGCCUGUCCUCCAACAUUGAGGAUUCCAGUUUGACAUGAGAUUUGUGUGGGGACACAAAUCCAAAACAUAGUCACCAUGCUUAGCUGAUAUGUUAAAUUCAGUCUUGUUCUUUUAUUAAGCAUUAGUCAGGCAAUUUACAUGCAUAUGUUAAUAAAAUUUAAGCCAUUCUGGAAGUAAAAGAAUGAAAUACCAGCUUUCCUUUUCCUCAUUCCCACCUAUCGGGGUAACCCCUUUUAAUCUUUUCCAUUUUAAAAUUCUUCUCUUGGUUGCCUCCAUCACUUCUAAUACAUUAGUAUGUUUGUAGCUGUGUUUUGCUAUUAUGAAAAAUCUAUUGAAAAAUGAAACCAGAUAGCUUGCAGUGCUACCUAUCUCUUUUCCAGCUGGUUUCUCCUGAUCCUCUUUUAAAGUUUUUCUGUGGAUUAUUAUUAAAAUUUUAUAAAACGAAUUUAAUCUUGGCCAUCAGUUUUGAAUAGUCUUGAUUUUUCAAGAUUUGAAAUGAGAGCUUUAGAGCCCUUUAUAUUUCUUUUACCUCACAGCUAUUACCAGCUUGUAUAGAGGUGUAUUCACUUACACAUCUUUCUUUCACUUAAUUGAAUUCUGUAUUUUUGUCUUAGACUAUUCUGAAUAUUGAAAACAAAAUAUGCUGGAAGAACAUAGUGUAAUAAGACUCAUGGAGAGGGAGAUGUUAUACUAUGUCACUAAGUUUGUUCCAGUCUUAGGAGAAAUGUUACCACUGGAUUGAGGUCUGGUACAUUUUAAAAGAUGAUUUAAUUCUAUGAUAUGUGUUCAGAUUGCACUAGGAAAGUUUUUACUUUCAUCUUUGUUCCAUGCAUAGCACAAAUAGCUGUGAACCCUUAUUGCCCAACUCAAGAGCCAGAGUCUUCUGUCAUCAUCUUGCUUCUCUCCCAAGUGAAAGGACUGAGGGCAGAUUUGGUGUUUGUGGGUGAGGCAUGUGGACUGACAGGCUUCAGUUUAGCGAGUGUGAGCCCUGGCAGGAAGAUUCUCUUUCUCGUGUGUGAUCCCUGGCAGGAAGAUUGUCUUCCUUUCCUUGCCAGUUGAGGAGGCCUCAUUGAGCAGUGUGAACUUGUGGUUUUGGCAUGUCUAGUCUUGACGCAGGUGGCUUGGAAUCCUCACAGGCAAUUCUUUGGCCUCACCCUGGGGGCGGCUGUUCAUUUGUGUUUGAGUGGCUGGGACUCAGUAGGUUCACUGCAAUAGGUAUUUCUUUAGGGCCACUGGGGGAGGCUGAUUAUGCAGCAUAUAGUUGUCUAAUAAAUCAAGCCAAUCUCUCCCCUUCCGUCUACUCCAGUUUUUCUUUACCACCCAGAAUGGCAUCUGCCACUUCUGCUCUGGUUCCUGGUCCCAGCUUUCAGCACUAGAUCUUUUUGACAUUCUUCAAAUUAUUGGUAUGAUUAAUCCCAGUUACCUUUUUCUUGCAGAAAACUGACAAAAUCUUUGGUUCACUGGUAUGUCUCCAUCCCAUGCUUUAUUUUAUUAUCCUUUGCUGCUUGUUUUGUGGAUGAUAUGGAGGAUAAGAACAAUAUAUUUACUCUAUCCAGUGCUCUAGAUUUUCUUGUUAGAAGCACCCUUCUUCCUAGCCUGGGAAAACUGAGCUGCUGCAGUUGCUGUUAGCUUCUUCUCUUGCUGUUAGUUUUAAAGCACUGUUUUCAGUUACACUUCAAUUGUAGCUAUCCUUAGUUCUCUUUUUAUCAUUGAAUUCUGGUAGUAUGUAUGAAGAACUGGAUGGCCUUCCUGGCCUUUGUAAAUAUUUCCUGCAAAUGCCUAGCUUUAGUGAGCUACAAAGUUGCCAGUUUGGAGGUGAGGCUGUAUUGAAAGUCCUCAUCUGUACUUUACUGUCUGCUUUUGUGACUUUGGGUUUGGGUUGGGUGUUUGGAAGCACUGUUUCUUCUGUCCUUGACCUUGUUCCACAUGUUUUACCCAUAACCUCUUGUGAGCAGGGCACAGGACCUUUCCUUGUCACCUGGGCUUCAGCUGUUUUGAGGAUGACUGCUUAUCCCUUGCAGGUGUUUCCCACCAAGGCUGUUGAAAGGGAAGUUAUCAUAGUGUUCAUUUUUUUUAAAAGUUAGACCAGAUAUACCCCCUAAACUUGUUAAGCCUGUCUGCUUCUUUUCAUAUGACAUAGAAAUUGAUACAAAAAUGCUUAAUGUAGUUUGUAUAGAUGAAGUUGCUUAAGAAAGAUGACACUGUACUAUUUUGUUGUCUUGAUAAGUACAGUACAAAAAAUUUUUAAACUCUAAAGUUAAUUUGCAAGAAUCUUUUUGUUUUGACAACAUACUAUCUAUUAUAACUUUUAGCUGAAUAAAAUCUUAGCAAGUCAGCCUUUAUAUUUUCAUGAUACCUAGAUGAAGGAACAAAAGUUAUACUGUCAUAUACUGAAUUUUUAUGAUGUUCUAGGAGCCUUUUUUGUUUUGGGAAGGGAGGGAGGAAGAGGAUGACAUUAUUCCCUAGAUAUGAGUUAGUUGAUUCAGAAGAAUAAAGAAUAGUCCAAUAUUUAAAAAUUUAUAAUCCAGAUUUAAAUAAUAGUUUACCUUCUAGCUUUAUAAACAGUCUUAAUGAGAAGUAGAGGAGAAAAAAGAAGCAGAGUUGCUCUUAGGUUAGAGAAUAGAAAUACCAACUUGGCUUAACGUUUUUAUAAAAGAUGUUCAGUAAAACUAUGGUGACAGCCUCACUUUAGGGAAUGAGGUAUUAAAAACUUGACCAAGGUAGUCAUGCCAGACUUUGGAAUAUUUUUCCAAAUUUGAUGGCUUCAAAUUAAAAAAAAAUAUUUUUAUCCACUUGCUGUUUUUCAAAACUAUAAAGCUGCAUUCUAUUUCUGCUUAAAAAUACAAAAUUGUUAGUAUGAUCUGAUUUGUCAUUUGAGAUAAUCUUGGAUAAUACAUUACUGGGCAUAAUAAUGGCUAUUAUACAUAGAGAGGUUAGAGGCUGUUUCUGUGUCUCAAGCAUCAUUAACUGCAGAUAAAAAGUUACCAGUUAUUUUAAAUAUAUUUCUUACAGGGGAGAAAAUGUAAUCAGCAUAUAGUGUUUUUAAAAAGUUAAUGAUUAAUUGUAUACUUAGAAAACUUACCUUCUUUACUUAAAUAUGUAUAUUUAUGUAAUGAAGAUUCUAGUUUAGUAAGUUAACUAUUUUUUUUUAACAUGUUUAAUGCUUAAUUUCUGAUUCUAAAAGUAGUACUUUUUGAUACUUUCCUAAACUCCAUAAUUUAAGUAACUUUAGAAAGAAUUGAUACUAAGCUAAACAUUUAAAUUGAGGAUUAUCCCAGAGCAUCUGUCACUAGGCAUAUGAUGUUUCCUUGUGUCUCUUGUCCCCAAAGGAAAGUAGGAGUGCUGAGUUUUUAAUAUUUGUCCCCUUCAAGAAGGGGAAAGUUUUGUGAUACGAAGAAUGCUUAAGAGGUAGACCAGGAAACAGUCUCUCUUGACAUGGAAAAUGCCAUUUAUUGCUGUAGAGUGCAAGACAGGCUGGGUUAGGAUUGCUUUAUCAAUGUGGAGGGAAUAAGAAUCUGGAAGAACAAACUGAAAUAUUAAAGAUUCAUGGAUAAGAGUAUGAAUGAAAUUGGUUUUAAAAUCUCCCAUUUAUUUCUCUCUUGCCUUUGUCCUUCAGAAUUAAAGGAGGCUAAUGCAGGUUCCAGCUAGUUCAAAAACGUACCAAAAGUUCUCAGAAGUUUAAAGGGCUUAGAUUGAGUCUUUCGGGGAAUGGAUUAAAUACUUCUGAGUUAGAGAGUGAUUUUCAAACCUGUCUUAAGCCUUGGCUUGUAACAUGUAGAUGAUAGUAUGGGGAAUGAUUCUGAGCUAAUCUCAGGAAAGCUUACAUUUAAAUAAAUUUUCAUAUGGACAAGAAACCAGGAGACGAUGUGUGACUAAUAUAUUGAUUAUUCAUGGAUACUGUGAGAACUUUGCUUUUUAUCUGUGGGAUCUUUAUCUUAUGCAUUAUGUUUCUAAAACUGUAGUUUCUUUGUUUAUAGAAUGGGGGAGGGUUCACGUUAGAUGAUCUCUAAGUUUCCUCCUGGCUUUUGAAUUACUGAUCUUUUUCCUGACUUUCAGAAGCUGACUUUUCCAGUCUUGGUUUCAUUGGACUUUAAUGGGGACAGGUGUGGGUGAUGGGUGCCUAGAGAUGGUGGAAAAGUGGUUUCAGGAGAAGAGAAAUUGUAGUGUUAGCAAUAGGACCAACAUGCUCUUCUUUUGGAAUCUGAUGCUUGAAAAUCUACUCUGUCUUAAUGAAAUAUAGUUUACAAAUGCUAGAAGUCUUUCUGGAGACGUUUAUAGACAGUCUAUGGAAAAAUAUUUAAAAAUCACAAACUUUUUCAUGGUGUAGAAUGAAUCUAUACUCUAUUUGGAAGGAGAUAAUUGCUAGGCUGGGUGGGACAAGUUGAUCUAUUUUAAAAUAAAAUUGUAUCUUUUAUAAGGCACAAAUGGGAACUGUGUCUCCUUGACAUGUUUCAAAGCAUUUCUCUGAAUAUGUGAGAUUAAAGAAACCCUUAACCACUCAGAAUUGUCAGAACACUGAUGUUCUUUAAAACUAUCUUUGUAGCUGUUAGUAUGUACUGACAGAGUUGAAGUUUUUAAUGUUGUAUUCAUUAUUAGACAUUUUGCAUAUGAAUAUAAUGUGUUUUAUUUAUGGUUACAUCUUAAUUCAACUUGGUUCCCAGAUAUGAGUAUUAUUUAGUUGGUCUUCAUACUUUAAGCUCUUAUAGGUUAAUACUUAAUUGGGGUUUUAUUUUAAAGUUAUUUUUGAAGCUAUAUGUUAAGCGUGUGAUAAUAAAAAGUUAGUUUUCCUCAUGCUUUCUGUUAUGCCCACCUCUUUAAUCUUUCUGUUAUAUAAUAAAAAUGCUUUGUGGGACUUCUCUAAAAUGUAAUGUUUGAGAAUCUAUUUUAAUGUAUAGAAAGACAUUUACAUAAUGCUUUUGAGUAGGUGGGGGAAAAAGUUGAAAUGUUGAUGGCAGCAUCUGUUAGAAAAAAUCUCAUAUGUCUAUAUAGUAAAAAGUUAAAACUACAACAAAUGCACUACUUUAACGGUGUUCUGCAUGUUAUUCCAGGGGAUCGCCUUUGGAGUAAAAAGUAGAAUAUGUUUCUAGUCCUUUAUAGUUGCUGUUAAUUUUGUUCUAAACCUGAAAGUGUUAACAGCGAGUUGAAAAUGUGACAAAGCUCAAUUUCAUUUCUUGUUUAUUGCUUGUUUUCCUAUUGGACAAUUGGAAGUAGCUCUGCCCUGGCAACUAAAAUAGGCUAUUUGCAUAACCUAGUUUGAUUGGCUAGCAUGCUGACUAACAGUUCCAAUCAUAUGGUGUCGGUUUAGUGGUAGGCUAUGCUAAUUAGCCGCUGUUGCUGGGGUUCAGGGAUGGUUUCUGUGUGCUGUUCUGCUGCAUUGUGUUGCCUGGUGAGAGACAUUGAUAAAUGAGCGUUUAAUGAUCUGCAGCAGUUCCCACUCACUGCGGGCAGGCGGAUUUUAGAACAGAAGUGAAAAUAAGGAUUUAAUUGCUCUGUUAAAUACCUGUAACCAAAAUAUGUGUAUUACAUUUGAUAAAUUAAGUUGUAUGAAAUCUUUUAUCUAAUUAAAUACCUUAUGACACAAAAGAAAAAUACGUUAGCUUUGUCUCUUAAAAUAUAACUCAGGUAGCAGCACUAUGCACAGGUUUCCUAAAACUGUAAAAUUGAUCUUUUUCAGAUCAGAAAUAGUACCAUUGCAGUAAGUAGCAUGCUUGAUUUUUUCUUAUGACUUUGACCUUUCAUAAAGAUACAUGUUUGUGUUUACUAAUAUGGUGCAAGCUUUUGGGCAGAAUUUAUCUUGUAUUGCCUGUGUAGUCUAGCAAGUAAGAGCAUAAACUUGAAUCCCCUGUUCUUGUUCUUCUGUUCAAUUUGAAGAUCGGAUUGUUAUUCGUUACCUCCUGCUAGUAUUACUUUUCUAAUUGAAGUCAGGUGUUUUAACUGUUGCUUGUACCAUUAUCAUUGGUUUACAUGAAGUCUUAAUUGGUACUGUCAGGUGGUAGGUUCUGUAGGAAAAACACCCUCAGUUCUUUGUUCAAGGAAUGAGGUGAAGAAUAAAACACAUGUGAUCUUAG